rnacentral:rRNA from 1 species
GCCAGACUCCUACGGGAGGCAGCAGUGGGGAAUAUUGCACAAUGGGGGAAACCCUGAUGCAGCGACGCCGCGUGAGUGAAGAAGUAAUUCGUUAUGUAAAGCUCUAUCAGCAGGGAAGAAAAUGACGGUACCUGAGUAAGAAGCCCCGGCUAACUACGUGCCAGCAGCCGCGGUAAUACGUAGGGGGCAAGCGUUAUCCGGAUUUACUGGGUGUAAAGGGAGCGUAGACGGCAGUGCAAGUCCGGAGUGAAAGCCCGGGGCUCAACCCUGGGACUGCUCUGGAAACUGUAAAGCUGGAGUGCGGGAGGGGCAGGCGGAAUUCCUGGUGUAGCGGUGAAAUGCGUAGAUAUUAGGAGGAACACCAGUGGCGAAGGCGGCUUACUGGACUGUAACUGACGUUGAGGCUCGAAAGCGUGGGGAGCAAACAGGAUUAGAUACCCCCGUAA